rnacentral:rRNA from 1 species
GACGAACGCUGGCGGCGUGCUUAACACAUGCAAGUCGAGCGGAAAGGCCCUUCGGGGUACUCGAGCGGCGAACGGGUGAGUAACACGUGAGUAACCUGCCCCAGACUUUGGGAUAACCCUCGGAAACGGGGGCUAAUACCGGAUACGACACAGCUUCGCAUGGGGUCUGUGUGGAAAGUUUUUCGGUUUGGGAUGGGCUCGCGGCCUAUCAGCUUGUUGGUGGGGUGAUGGCCUACGAAGGCGACGACGGGUAGCCGGCCUGAGAGGGCGACCGGCCACACUGGGACUGAGACACGGCCCAGACUCCUACGGGAGGCAGCAGUGGGGAAUAUUGCACAAUGGGCGGAAGCCUGAUGCAGCGACGCCGCGUGAGGGAUGACGGCCUUCGGGUUGUAAACCUCUUUCAGCAGGGACGAAGCGUAAGUGACGGUACCUGCAGAAGAAGCGCCGGCCAACUACGUG